GCCUGUGUGGCUAAGUGGUAGAGUGUUGGCCUGUACAGCAGAAGGUUGUGGGUUUGAUUCCUGGUCAAGGGCA
rfam:Myotis davidii contig158840, whole genome shotgun sequence.